UAUUUUGCAGCCUCUAUCUCGUAUGUUAUUUCAACUUUGAGCUCCGUGCUAAGUGCUACUGUUGCCAGAAUAAGAAUGGCGAAUGUUACAAGACGAAGAGUGAGUGCCUGCAGAAGUGCCAUUCCUACAACGGUUAAUGCCCACCUUCAUCGGGGUCUCUGGGAUAGAAUUCCAUAUGCUCCGAAAAUUUGUCCAUCGGUAAUAAAAGGCACCUUAUAUGGUUUGGGCAAUUAGGUGCCAAUUAAACAUUAGAUAGCCCGUAUGUUUCCGUGGAGAUCCAACAAGGAAAAAUUUGAUGAAAGAAAUCCGAGUAACUAGUUGCUUGCAUAUUUACAAAGUUCAAAUCCUUUGGUUGUGGUGCUUUGACUCGAUUGUCUAUUAUGCUCUUUCAUCUACAUGCACAUCGCCUACUUGUUUAUUUAACACACAUCACCGAGUUGGUGAUUUGCCAGUUGUGGGAUGACAGUCAUGUAGAAUUGUAAUAGCACUGACAUGGAAAAAUUUAAAAACUGAAAAAAGUAAAUCCAAUAAACAAAUGGUGUGCAAACUAAAUCAGACGGCUUAAGACAAGUGAGAUUUAGUCAGGACUCUUUCAGAUGAAGAUAAGCAAAUUGCAAGAAAACAACAUGCAGAAAAAAAUUUAUAUCAUAGCAUAACUAGCAAAAAAGCACAUAGUACAACGACAACCCACGUAUCUAUAUGCUAUCUUUAUGUAUAUCUAUUUAUAUCUAUCUAUCUAUCUAUCUAUCUAUCUAUCUAUCUAUCUAUCUAUACCUACUAAUAAAAUACGGAGCAUUUAUGCCCAUCCGUCUCAUGUUUUGCAAGAAAAUACCCUACUUUUUUCUUUAAUUAACCCGCGGUCCAGGUUUAUGCGAGGUUCGUCCGUUGUGUUUUUUGCAAAGAACGAGGAAACGGUUGCGUUUUGUGAGAUUCAAACUCAUGAUGUCCCCUCCAUGCCCAAAAGCCACAACCAACUGACUUAGCAUGCGCUUGUGCUAUCAAAUAGGUCCAUUAUUUCAUUAAAUUGUCCAACCUUGAUUCUUUGCAUGAGAAAACGCUAAUUUAUAUGUGAUUGCAAAUUGCCUGGAAAUCAACAAGCCAACUUGAUAACCUAGAAAUAGAGGGAAAGGAGGAAUUCACUAUAUAAAUAGUGUUAACUAGCAGGGUUUCCCGCGCAUUUGCGCGGCUAGAUUAACCCUUUCCGAUGCUAACUAUAUGGCCUUUCACUAAACUAUGUUUUGAUUAAAUUUACACCCUGUAUAUGUCAUCAUAGCAAAAAUGAAAAUCAUAAUGAAACAUGCAAGUGCAUUAGGUUGUUCUUUUUAAUAUAAAAGUGCAUUAGGUUUUUAAAUAAAUUCCUUGGCAUGUCAGGUCACAACACCGAUAAAAAACCAUGUAUGGGCUUUCAUGCCAAAAUUGGUGUUUUUCCUCUUUGAUCCACUCCACCUUUGUAUCAUUGAAUAGGUUUUCGAGAAAUUCCCUACCAAGACUUAAAUUUAAAUAUGAAAUUCCGGUAUGUAAAGGUCCCUUCUUCUAGCCAUAUCAAUGAAUGGACGCAUUCUUAAUUACCUUUUCUUGAUUAAUGCUGCCUACCCACUUAAGUAUCAAGAGAUUCACAUCUUCUAUGGUGCUUAUUUUUUCUAUUGAUAAUAUUUUACCAUUGAACUGGACGACUCCUUUGAUGAGACUAGCACGCGUUUUUUGCGGCGAACCCAGGAGUUUGAGGUCAAGGAGGCGCUAAAAAGGAUGAAACGAGGCAAGGCGAUGGGCCCUGAUUGUAUCGCAAUUGAGGUAUGGAAAGGCCUCGGGGACAUAGCGAUAGUAUGGAUAACCAAGCUUUUCAACCUCAUUUUUAAGGCAAACAAGUUGCCAGAAGAAUGGGGACGGAGUAUAUUGAUGUCUACUACGCAACCUUCUUCUUGUAGACGUUGUUGGGCCUCCAAGUGCAGAGGUUUGUAGGACAGUAGCAAAUUUCCCUCAUGUGGAUGACCUAAGGUUCAUCAAUCCAUGGGAGGCAUACGAUGAAGAUGGUCUCUCUCAAGCAACCCAGCAACCAAAUAACAAAGAGUCUCUUGUGUCCCCAACACACCCAAUACGAUGGUAAAUUGUAUAGGUGCACUAGUUCGGCGAAGAAAUGGUGAUACAAGUGCAAUAUGGAUGGUAGAUAUAGGUUUUUAUAAUCUGAUAAUAUAAAAACAGCAAGGUAACUAAUGAUAAAAGUGAGUGUAAACGGUAUUGCAAUGCUAGGAAACAAGGCCUAAGGUUCAUACUUUCACUAGUGCAAGUUCUCUCAACAGUAAUAACAUAAUUGGAUCAUAUAACUAUCCCUCAACAUGCAACAAAGAGUCAGUCCAAAGUCACUAAUAGCGGAGAACAAACGAAGAGAUUAUUGUAGGGUACGAAACCACCUCAAAGUUAUCCUUUCUGAUCGAUCUAUUCAAGAGUCCAUAGUAAAAUAACACGAAGCUAUUCUUUCCGUUCGAUCUAUCAUAGAGUUUGUACUAGAAUAACACCUUAAGACACAAAUCAACCAAAUCCCUAAUGUCACCUAGAUACUCCAAUGUCACCUCAAGUAUCCAUGGGCAUGAUUAUACGAUAUACAUCACACAAUCUCAGAUUCAUCUAUUCAACCAACACAAAGUACUUCAAAGAGUGCCCCAAAAUUUCUACCGGAGAGUCAAGACGAAAACGUGUGCCAACCCCUAUGCAUAAGUUCACAAGGUCACUGAACCCGCAAGUUGAUCACCAAAACAUACAUCAAGUAGAUCACGUGAUAUCCCAUUGUCACCACAGAUAAGCACAUGCAAGACAUGCAUCAAAUGUUCUCAAAUCCUUAAAGACUCAAUCUGAUAAGAUAACUUCAAAGGGAAAACUCAAUACAUUACAAGAGAGUAGAGGGGGAGAAACAUCAUAAGAUCCAACUAUAAUAGCAAAGCUCGCGAUACAUCAAGAUUGUGCCAAAUCAAGAACACGAGAACGAGAGAUCAAACACAUAGCUACUGGUACAUACCCUCAGCCCUGAGGGUGAACUACUCCCUCCUCGUCAUGGAGAGUGCUGUGAUGAUGAAGAUGGCCACCGGUGAGGGAUCCCCCCUCCGGCAGGGUGCCGGAACAAGGUCCUGAUUGGUUUUUGGUGGCUACAGAGGCUUGCGAUGGUGGAACUCCUGAUCUAUUGUGCUCUCCGAUGUUUUUAGGGUAUAUGGACAUAUAUAGGCGAAAGAAGUCAGUUAGGGGAGCCACAAGGGGCCCACGAGGGUGGGGGUUCGCCCAGGGGUUAGGGCGUGCCUCCCUUCCUCGUGGCCACCUCGAAGCUUCCCCGACUUCCACUCCAAGUCUCCUGGAUUGCUUCCGUUCCAAAAAUAACUCUCCCGAAGGUUUCAUUCCAUUUGGACUCCGUUUGAUAUUCCUUUUCUUCCAAACACUGAAAUAGGCAAAAAAAUAGCAAUUUGGGCUGGGCCUACGGGUAAUAGGUUAGUCCCAAAAAUAAUAUAAAAGUGUAUAGUAAAGCCCAUAAACAUCCAGAACUGGUAAUAUAAUAGCAUGGAACAAUCAAAAAUUAUAGAUACGUUGGAGACGUAUCAAGCAUCCCCAAGCUCAAUUCCUGCUUGUCCUCGAGUAGGUAAAUGAUAAAAACUGAAUUUUUGAUGUGGAAUGCUACCUAGCAUAAUUCUGAAUGUAAUUUUCUUCAUAGUGGCAUGAAUGUUCAGAUCCUGGAUUCAAGAUAAAAGUUCAUAUUGACAUGAAAACAAUAAUUCUUCAAGCAUACUAACAAAGCAAUCAUGUCUUCUCAAAAUAACAUGGCGAAAGAAAGCUAUCCCUACAAAAUCAUAUAGUCUGGUGCUAUGUCUUGAGCUUGCGUUGGCUUUCCUUGAAGAGGAAAGGGUGAUGCAGCAAUAAUAGCGUAAGUAUUUCCCUCAGUUUUUGAGAACCAAGUUAUCAAUCCAGUAGGAGGGUCCUCAAAAGUCCCACGCACCUACACAAACAAACAAAGAACUCGCAACCAACGCAAUAAAGGGGUUGUCAAUCCCUUCACGGCCACUUGCGAAAGUGAGAUCUGAUAGAGAUAGUAUGAUAAGAUAAAUAUAUUUUUGGUAUUUUAUAAGAUAGAUGCAAAAAGUAAAGAUGCAAAUAAAAGUAGAUUGAAAGCUUAUAUGAUAAAAUAUGGACCCUGGGGGCCAUAGGUUUCACUAGUGGCUUCUCUCAAGAUAGCAUAAGUAUUACGGUGGGUGGACAAAUUAUUGUCGAGCAAUUGAUAGAAAAGCGAAUAAUUAUGAGAUUAUCUAGGCAUGAUCACGUAUAUAGGAAUCACGUUCAUGACAAGUAGACCGACUCCUGCCUGCAUCUACUACAAUUACUCCACACAUCGACCGCUAUCCAAUAUGCAUCUAGAGUAUUAAGUUCAUAAGAACAGAGUAACACAUGAAGAAAGAUGACAUGAUGUAGAGGGAUAAACUCACGCAAUAUGAUAUAAACCCCAUCUUUUUAUCCUCGAUGGCAACAAUACAAUACGUGCCUUGCAACCCCUGCUGUCACUGGGUAAGGACACCGCAAGAUUGAACCCAAAGCUAAGCACUUCUCCCAUGGCAAGAACGAUCAAUCUAGUAGGCCAAACCAAACUGAUAAUUCGAAGAGACUUGCAAAGAUAUAACUCAAUCAUACAUAAAAGAAUUCAGAGAAGAUUCAAAUAUUUCUCAUAGAUAAACUUGAUCAUAUUCCUAUAAUUCAUCGGAUAUCUACAAACACACCGCAAAAAGAGUUUACAUCGAACAGAUCUCCACAAGAGAGGGGGAGAACAUUGUAUUGAGAUCCAAAAAGAGAAAAGAAGCCAUCUAGCUUAUAACUAUGGACCCGAAGGUCUGUGGUAAACAACUCACAACUCAUCGGAGGGGCUAUGGUGUUGAUGUAAAAGCCCUCCGUGGUCGAUUCCCCCUCCGGCGGAGCGCCGGUGAAGGCUCCAAGAUGGGAUCUCACGAAUACAGAAUGUUACGGCGGUGGAAAUUGUUUUUCGUUGGCUCCCUGGAUGUUUUCGCGGUACGUGGGUAUAUAUAGGAGGAAGAAGUACGUCGGUGGCCGCUCGAGGGGCCCAGGAGACAAUGGGUGCGCCCAGGAGUGGUGGGCGUGUCCUCCUAUCUCCUGGCCUCCUCGAUUGCUUAUUGACUUGCACUCCAAGUCCUCUGGAUCAUGUUCGUUCCAAAAAUCACGCUCCCGAAGGUUUCGUUCCAUUUGGACUCCGUUUGAUAUUCCUUUUCUUCGAAAUACUGAAAUAGGCACAAAAAAAACAGCAAUACGGGCUGGGCCUCUGGUUAGUAGGUUAGUCCCAAAAAUGAUAUAAAUGUGUAAAAUAAACCCAUAAACAUCCAAAAGGGGUAAUAUAAUAGCAUGGAACAAUAAAAAAUUAUAGAUACGUUGGAGACGUAUGAAGCAUCUCCAAGCUUAAUUCCUUCUCGUCCUCGAGUAGGUAAAUGAUAAAAACAGAAAUUUUGAUGUGGAAUGCUACCUAGCAUAUUUCUCAAUGUAAUUUUCUUUAUUGUGGCAUGAAUGUUCAGAUCCAAAUGAUUCAAAAUAAAAGUUCAUAUUGAUAAAAGAAAUAGUAAUACUUCAAGCAUACUAAUCAAAGCAAUCAUGUCUUCUCAAAAUAACAUGGCUAGAGAAAGUUCAUCCAUACAAAAUCAUAUAGUUAGGCUAUGCUACAUUUUUGUCACAUAAAAAUGUUCCCAAAUUCUACACCCCCGAUGACAAGCCAAGAAAUUGUCUCAUACUUAAAUAAUCUCAAACUUUUUCAACUUUCACGCAAUACAUGAGCGUGAACCAUGGAUAUAGCACUAUGGGUGGAAUAGAAUAUGAUAAUGGGGAUUGUGUGGAGAAGACAAAAAAAGAGAAAGUCUCACAUUGACGAGGAUAAUCAACGGGCUAUGGAGAUGCCCAUCAAUUGAUGUCAAUAUGAGGAGUAGGGAUUGCCAUGCAACGGAUGCACUAGAGCUAUAAAUGAAUGAAAGCUCAAAAAAAGAAAACUAGUGGGUGUGCAUCUGAUGACCAACAAGUAUAGGGGAUCUAUCGUAGUCCUUUCGAUAAGUAAGAUUGUCGAACCCAACGAGGAGCAGAAGGAAAUGAUAAGCGGUUUUCAGCAAGGUAUUCUCUGCAAGUACUGAAAUAAGUGGUAACAGAUAGUUUUGUGAUAGGAUAAAUGGUAACGAGCAACAAGUAACAAAAGUAAAUAAAGUGCAGCAAGGUGGCCCAAUCCUUUUUGUAGCAAAGGACAAGCCUGGACAAACUCUUAUAAUAGGAAAAUUGCUCCCGAGGACACAUGGGAAUAUCGUCAAGCUAGUUUUCAUCACGCUCAUAUGAUUCGCGUUCGGUACUUUGAUAAUUUGAUAUGUGGGUGGACCGGUGCUUGGGUACUGCCCUUACUUGGACAAGCAUCCCACUUAUGAUUAACCUCUAUUGCAAGCAUCCGCAACUACAACAAAAGUAUUAAGGUAAACCUAACCAUAGCAUGAAACAUAUGGAUCCAAAUCAGCCCCUUACGAAGAAACGCAUAAACUAGGGUUUAAGCUUUUGUCACUCUAACAACCCAUCAUGUACUUAUUACUUCCCAAUGCCUUCCUCUAGGCCCAAAUAAUGGUGAAGUGUUAUGUAGUCGACAUUCACAUAACACCACUAGAGGUUAGACAACAUACAUCUUAUCAAAAUAUCGAACGAAUACCAAAUUCACAUGACUACUAAUAGCAAGACUUCUCCCUUGUCCUCAGAAACAAACGUAAUUACUCACAAAGCAUAUUCAUGUUCAUAGUCAGAGGGGUAAUAAUAUGCAUAAAGGAUCUGAACAUAUGAUCUUCCACCAAAUAAACCAACUAGCAUCAACUACAAGGUGUAAUCAACACUACUAGCAACCUACUAGCACCAAUCCCGGACUUGGAGACAAGAAUUGGAUACAAGAGAUGAACUAGGGUUUGGAGAUGAGAUGGUGCUGGUGAAGAUGUUGAUGGAGAUUGCCCUCUCCCGAUGAGAGGAGCGUUGGUGAUGACGAUGGUGAUGAUUUCCCCCUCCCGGAGGGAAGUGUCCCCGGCAGAACAGCUCUGCUGGAGCCCUAGAUUGGUUCCGCCAAGGUUCCGCCUUGUGGCGGCGGAGUCUCAUCCCGAAAGGUUGCCUUCUACUUUUUUCUCAUCGAAAGACUUCAUAUAGGAGAAGAUGGGNNNNNNNNNNNNNNNNNNNNNNNNNNNNNNNNNNNNNNNNNNNNNNNNNNNNNNNNNNNNNNNNNNNNNNNNNNNNNNNNNNNNNNNNNNNNNNNNNNNNNNNNNNNNNNNNNNNNNNNNNNNNNNNNNNNNNNNNNNNNNNNNNNNNNNNNNNNNNNNNNNNNNNNNNNNNNNNNNNNNNNNNNNNNNNNNNNNNNNNNNNNNCCUCGUGAGCAGGGUGUGGGCCCCCUGGCCUUCAUCUUUGGCGACGAUUUUUCUUUAUUUAUUUUAAGACAUUCCGUGGAGUUUCAAGACUUUUGGAGUUGCGCUUGAUAGUCCUUCAAUAUUUGCUCCUUUUCCAGCCCAGAAUUCCAGCUGCCGGCAUUCUCCCUCUUCAUGUAAACCUUGUAAAAUAAGAGAGAAUAGCCAUAAGUAUUGUGACAUAACGUGAAAUAACAGCCCAUAAUUCAAUAAAUAUUGACAUAAAAGCAUGAUGCAAAAUGGACGUAUCAACUCCCCCAAGCUUAGACCUCGCUUGUCCUCAAGCGAAAAGCUGAUAACAAUAAUUAUGUCCUCAUGUUUAGAGGUAGGGGUGUCGAUAAAAAUAAAAUACGGACAUGAAGGCAUCAUGAUUAUUUCAUAAAAGCGACAUAUAUAGAUUUUGUCAUAUGGUUACUCAUGUUUAAGUGAUGAUCUUUUCACAAAGCCAAAGUAUGAAUCAGAAAACUUAUUGAGCACCAACAAAUUAUAAUCUCAGUCAUUGAAGCAAUUGCAAUUUAUCAUAACAUCGGAAAGAGUCUAUGUCACAUCUUAAAAGCAAGUCCACAUACUCAACUAUCACCUAGUCCUUCAUAAUUGCUAACACUCACGCAAUACUUGUGGUUACGGAGUUUUAAUCGGACAUAGAGAAAGAUAGGGGUUUAUAGUUUUGCCCCACAACUUUUUACCUCAAGCGUAAUGUCAACAAUAAUAAUUCAUGCUCCCCCACAUCCAAUUAGAUAUAUAUAUAUCAUGUUCUUUCCAACAUGCUGAGCUUGCCAAAGGAUAAAAUAAAAAGGAAAAGGUGAAGAUCACCGUGACUCUUGCAUAA
rnacentral:lncRNA from 1 species